GAUGAACGCUGGCGGCGUGCCUAAUACAUGCAAGUCGAGCGAACGGACGCGACGCUUGCUUCUCUGACGUUAGCGGCGGACGUGAGAGUAACACGAGUAUAACCUACCUAUAUGUCGGGGAUAUCUUCGGGAAACGGUAGAUUAUACGGUAGAAUCUUUUGAUCCGUGGUGUGCAAAAGAGAAAGUCGGCGUUGGGGGCACGAAUAGCGGGAUACGCGCUGCAUUAGGUAGUUGGUAAGGUAAAGGCUUACGAAGGCAAGGAUGCAUAGCCGACCGGAGAGGGUGAUAGGCCACACUGGAACUGAGACACGGUCCAGGCUCCUACGGGAGGCAGCAGUAGGGAAUCUUCCGCAGUGGGCGAAAGCCUGACGGAGCAACGCCGCGUGAGUGAUGGAGGUCUUCCGAUCGUAAAGCUCUGUUAUGAGUUGAGAACAGCUGUGUAAGUAACUGUAGACAUCUUGACGGUACCGGGUAAGAAAGCCACGGCUAACUACGUG
rnacentral:rRNA from 1 species